UGUUACCCCUUAUGUUUUUUUUCAUGACGACCAAUAAAAACAACAGUGUUACCCCUUAUAUUUUAUUUGACCAGGACAACAGUGUUACCCCUUAUAUUUUAUUUGAUCAGGACAACAUGUUUCCCCCUUUUGUUUUUUUUCAUGACGACCGAUAAAAAACAACAGUGUUACCCCUUAUGUUUUUUUUCAUGACGGCCGAUAAAAAACAACAGUGUUACCCCUUAUGUUUUUGUUCAUGACGACAAAAAACAACAGUGUUACCCCUUAUGUUUUAUUCAUGACGACCAAUAAAAAACAA
ensembl:lncRNA